rnacentral:sRNA from 1 species
AUGGUUCCGCGGCGCGAUGCACCGCAUA